rnacentral:rRNA from 1 species
AGUGAACGCUGGCGGUAGGCCUAACACAUGCAAGUCGAACGGCAGCACAGUAAGAGCUUGCUCUUACGGGUGGCGAGUGGCGGACGGGUGAGGAAUACAUCGGAAUCUACUUUUUCGUGGGGGAUAACGUAGGGAAACUUACGCUAAUACCGCAUACGACCUACGGGUGAAAGCAGGGGAUCUUCGGACCUUGCGCGAUUGAAUGAGCCGAUGUCGGAUUAGCUAGUUGGCGGGGUAAAGGCCCACCAAGGCGACGAUCCGUAGCUGGUCUGAGAGGAUGAUCAGCCACACUGGAACUGAGACACGGUCCAGACUCCUACGGGAGGCAGCAGUGGGGAAUAUUGGACAAUGGGCGCAAGCCUGAUCCAGCCAUACCGCGUGGGUGAAGAAGGCCUUCGGGUUGAAAAGCCCUUUUGUUGGGAAAGAAAAGCAGCAGGUUAAUACCCCGCUGUUCUGACGGUACCCAAAGAAUAAGCACCGGCUAACUUCGU